rnacentral:rRNA from 1 species
AGUGAACGCUGGCGGUAGGCCUAACACAUGCAAGUCGAACGGCAGCACAGUAAGAGCUUGCUCUUACGGGUGGCGAGUGGCGGACGGGUGAGGAAUACAUCGGAAUCUUCUUUUUCGUGGGGGAUAACGUAGGUAAACUUACUCUAAUACCGCAUACGACCUACGGUUGAAAGCAGGGGAUCUUCGGACCUUGCGCGAUUGAAUGAGCCGAUGUCGGAUUAGCUAGUUGGCGGGGUAAAGGCCCACCAAGGCGACGAUCCGUAGCUGGUCUGAGAGGAUGAUCAGCCACACUGGAACUGAGACAAGGUCAAGACUACUAAGGGAGGGAGCAGAGGGGAAUAUUGGACAAUGGGCGCAAGCAUGAUCCAGCCAUACCGCGUGGGUGAAGAAGGCCUUCGGGUUGUAAAGCCCUUUUGUUGGGAAAGAAAAGCAGCAGGUUAAUACCCAGCUGUUCUGACGGUACCCAAAGAAUAAGCACCGGCUAACUUCGUG